rnacentral:misc_RNA from 1 species
ACCGGAAUGACCGACUAUAUGACGAGGAGAUUUUUUCACCCCCGGRUGUGGGGACGCUCCUGACAUCCUUAGCUCGGAUUUUGGCCAACCGCGUGCGGUAACACACGGGAAACCAGCUUCCGUCCAAUAUCCUCAAGAGGAUGGGGGGACGACGAUUUGUGACACCCAGGCAGACGUGCCCUCGGCCAGAAGGCUUGGGGCGCAACUUGCGUUCAAAGACUCGAUGGUUCACGGGAUUCUGCAAUUCACACCAAGUAUCGCAUUUCGCUACGUUCUUCAUCGAUGCGAGAGCCGAGAUAUCCGUUGCCGAGAGUCGUUAUAGACUUUACGUUGAUUGACUGCUUUCGAACAGCACCGUCUCCGGGAUGUCGAAAACAGGCUGUUUAGUUGUUUGUUCCUUGACACUUUUCUGGCCGGGGUUUGGUGAUAUCCGGAAGCUAUGUGCACGACUCAGCCGAAACUGAUGUCUUGACUGAGGACCAAACACAUAACCACGGAUUCSGCAGGCACGGAAACGGGAAAGASACCACCCCACCGAGAGUGAUGUUUCACCGUUCUCUGGUCGUUCUGUUUCCAGGGUUCAACAAUG